rnacentral:RNase_P_RNA from 1 species
GGGGCAGGUCAGGCAAUCGCGGUAGAUUCUAUCGAGGAAGGUCCGGACUCCACAGGGCAGGGUAGCGGCUAACAGCCGUCCGGUAACGACUGCUGCUUCGGCAGUGGUAAGAACCGAGGAACAGGGCCACAGAGACGAGUCUGUUACGUGGGCGUGCUUAGAGGUGCGCACUGGCACGGUAACUCCGUGUGGCGUGGCUUGUUUGGCAAGCCACAGCGUAGCAGGGUGAAACGCGGUAACCUCUAUCCGGAGCAACAUCAAAUAGGCAUGUGUUUGGCCUUCAAGGUCAUACGGGCGGCCCGUUCGUGCAUGCGGGUAGGUGGCUAGAGCCGGCCAGUAAUGGCCGGACCAGAGGAAUGAUUGCCCAUCGAUAUUCUCGAUGUACAGAAUCCGGCCUAUAGAUCUGUUCCGCAC